UUGUGAGGUAUUGUUUGGUUUGUGACACGUCUUUCCCACGAGUUACUCACGUGAUUGAGAGUUUUUGCCUGCCUCACUAACGACGCCUUUUGCCCAGUCCCUGCCUGUACUUUAGCCAACGGCUACAGGACCACCAUUGCUACGCUCCUGAGUUGUGUCGUGGGACCCAUACAGUGGGAAAUCCAAGCAGCCGUCCAGGAGGCCCUAUGCCACGACCCAGCACCUCCGACACUCCUGCAGGCAAGACCUAUGUUCCUGCAUCCGUCAGACCCCAACUAAUGCAGUGGCGCCAUACCUCGCUGAGUUCUGGCCAUCCCGAAAUCACCCGGCCCACGGAGCUACUGACACGCAAGUUCUGGUGGUCAUCCUUAACAGCUGACGUCCGAGAUUACGUUCUUUCCUAUCCCGUCUGUGCUUGGGCAAAGAGCCCUCGCCAACUACCUACCGGCAAUGGAGACGCAUGUCAGGCACUUGGAUGGACUCCCGUACAGACGCCCUUGGUCUACCAGUGGUCUUCUGCUACAGCUAUACCUCUCCAGAGCCCCAUCACAAACCUCCAAACUCGGGGUGAAUAGGAUCUGGGGCCUGGGUCCAUCUCUGUGGAAUUGUAGGACCCUGACCACCACUGGGCUUAUCCUGAUUUGGGCUGAGCCUUGUCAACAGACCAUCAAGAUGGUGCUGCAUCCAGCACCUAUUUGUCCUUUUUUAAAUAAAUUUUUUUCAGUUGGCAUCAGUUUAGUCCAAGCCUGGGGGAGAAAGUACUCGGAUAAUCAUUAAUCUUUGGACUAUGUAACUAAAGCCAUAAUUGGAGGUUAUACUCCGUUUUAGCUGUGUUUUAUUGCACUUGUCAAGUCCCAGUGGUAGUGUGUGUUGUCCAUUGAAGGAGUUGUCACCCGGUCCUCUUUCCCUCCCAAGGCUGCUGUGGGCUGUUGGUAAGGAAUCUUUCCUCAUAGGUCAACGUCAUCUUUCAUUUGUUGAUUUAACCUAAACACUUCCACUGAGCUGUGCUCUGGUCAGCUGCAGACAUUACAGGCAUAUGCACACUGGGUCCACUUUGAUUCUUUCAUUAACUUUGAUUGACUUGGUCUCACAUCUUUUAUUACAAUUCCCUAACAAUACAUUUGCUAACGCUGUCAGUCUUUGAUUUGGGUCCACACUAAUCAAACCUAUUUGCAUUGGAUUAAUUACACACAAUUUUCUCCGAAAUACAUCUGGUAUGGAACAAAUGUUUAGAUUGGCUUACAGAGUGUAGAGCAGUAUGAGACAUCAGAGCCCAUGGUUUGAAUUUAAGCAUCAUCCAACUCUGAUAUCUCUUGUGAUAUCCCUUUAUGAACAUAGCUUUUGAUUAAAUCCUGCACUUUAUCCUUCUGUAGCGAAGUGCCAUUUUACUGUGUCAACUGAGUGAUGUUUCAUAGAUUCAUCUGCAUGUCUCUUUCUCAACUCACC